AUGUCUAGCCUGCGAACAGGCUCUCAAGCCGAAUUGAGAGCCUGCAUCGAUGACUAAUGAAUUUGAAUAUCUGCCCCGUAACGUUCGUUUUUCCAAAUAUGGAAUGUCUAUCCUUAUAUGGUGUUGUUUACAACUUUCGUGCAAACUAAAUUUAGACCGUGGAAACUAAAUUUAGGCAUAGUACAAAACAUGGACUGGACUGGACUGGACAGUUGGACUGGACUGGACAGUUGGACUGGACUGUUGGACUGGACUGUUGGACUGGACUGAUUUUUACAUUUUCUCUAUUCUUGACUUGCACGUCACCCGC